rnacentral:rRNA from 1 species
GACGAACGCUGGCGGCGUGCUUAACACAUGCAAGUCGAACGGAAAGGCCCUGCUUUUGUGGGGUGCUCGAGUGGCGAACGGGUGAGUAACACGUGAGUAACCUGCCCUUGACUUUGGGAUAACUUCAGGAAACUGGGGCUAAUACCGGGUAGGAGCUCCUGCUGCAUGGUGGGGGUUGGAAAGUUUCGGCGGUUGGGGAUGGACUCGCGGCUUAUCAGCUUGUUGGUGGGGUAGUGGCUUACCAAGGCUUUGACGGGUAGCCGGCCUGAGAGGGUGACCGGCCACAUUGGGACUGAGAUACGGCCCAGACUCCAACAGGAGGCAGCAGUGGGGAAUAUUGCACAAUGGGCGGAAGCCUGGUGCAGCAACGCCGCGUGCGGGAUGACGGCCUUCGGGUUGUAAACCGCUUUCGCCUGUGACGAAGCGUGAGUGACGGUAAUGGGUAAAGAAGCACCGGCUAACUACGUG